ACUAACUAGGAUUCCCCCAGUAGCGGCGAGCGAACAGGGAUGAGCCCAGCACCGAGGCCCGCGGUCGACACCGGCCGCCGGGCGAUGCGGUGUUAGGGAGGGCCCGUUCGACCCGAGCGCGCGCGACCAGUCCAAGUCCUUCUUGAACGGGGCCACACGCCCAGAGAGGGUGCCAGGCCCGUGGUGACGGUCGCCGAGCUCGGGUGGGUCUUUCCCGAGAGUCGGGUUGCUUGAGAGUGCAGCCCUAAGCGGGUGGUAAACUCCAUCUAAGGCUAAAUACGACCACGAGACCGAUAGCGAACAAGUACCGUGAGGGAAAGUUGAAAAGAACUUUGAAGAGAGAGUUCAAGAGUACGUGAAACCGUUCAGGGGUAAACCUGAGGAACCCGAAAGGUCGACGCGGGAGAUUCAUACGCCUCGCCGGUUGCGGCCGCGUGUCGGUCAUCCAGGGACGGUGUCGGGUUCGCCCGGCGCCGCCCGGCCGUCGCGCGCCGUCCGCCGCCGGAGGUGUGCACUUCUCCCGCUGUAGGACGUCGCGACCCGUUGGGUGCCGGUCUAAGGCCCGCCAGGUAGCCCGUGGUAGCGAGCUCGCUCGCCGCCCGGACCGGCGGUGCAUCCCGGCCGGCCGCCCGACGGUAGGAACAGCUGGCGGCGGGUCGCCUCGAACGCGUCCAGGCGCACGGCAAGCGUACGCGCGAUCAGCGGAAAUCGGGCCCGGCCCGGUUCCGCGUCCGCGUCGCUGUUGGCCGAGCUGCUCUCGGACCGACCCCGCUCGCCCGUCGGCGACGCUUCAGCUUUGGGUAAUUUCAGGACCCGUCUUGAAACACGGACCAAGGAGUCUAGCAUGUGCGCGAGUCAUUUGGAACUCGAAUAAACCAAAAGGCGAAGUGAAAGCGAAGGUCUCGCCUAGAGCGGACCGUGGGAGGACAGGCGCCGCAUCCUUAAACGGACGUCGCCUCGCACUCCCGGGGCGUCUCGCACUCAUCGCGAGGCGAGGCGCACCGCGAGCGUACACGCUGGGACCCGAAAGAUGGUGAACUAUGCCUGGUCAGGACGAAGUCAGGGGAAACCCUGAUGGAGGUCCGUAGCGAUUCUGACGUGCAAAUCGAUCGUCGGAACUGGGUAUAGGGGCGAAAGACUAAUCGAACCAUCUAGUAGCUGGUUCCCUCCGAAGUUUCCCUCAGGAUAGCUGGCGCUCGGGAGAAACGAACGAACGAGUCUCAUCCGGUAAAGCGAAUGAUUAGAGGCAUUGGGGUCGAAACGGCCUCAACCUAUUCUCAAACUUUAAAUGGGUGAGAUCUCCGGCUUGCUUGAAUCAUGAAGCCGGAGAUCGGAUC
rnacentral:rRNA from 1 species